GAAAUAAUGAAAUAAUCGUACUUUUAUAAAAUGAGAGGUGACAUAUACCCAAGUUUAGUUACUAGCAAUUCUAUUUAUGUUUCAUUUCGUAGAAAAAAUAUUUAUAUAUUUAUUAAACACCCUUUCAAAGUUUCAAUUGAUAUUCGUUUAUACAGAUUAUACAUGCCCGUAAUUAUUUCCAAAAAAUUGUUGAUCUUCUUUAACACUGCAAAAUUUAUUGGGGAAAGCUCUUUGAUCCUCGAAAAUCAUUACUUAAACUUUCGAUGCGUAGAGUUUCGGCUCUCUGAAAAUCCUCUCAUUGUAUAAGACAAAAAAUGAACUUUCUUUAAAUUCAGUUAUGAAAUUAUGUAAUAACUUAUGUAUAUUAAUCACCAGCUCUACAAUACCGCAACGUAUGUAAAACUGCUAGCUAGUUUGAGCUCUUUUAAGACUUUAUAAUGCGCAUUUUUCUUUAAAAUUGCACAAAUUUAUAACCUCAGUUUUACAAGAACCUAAAUAAAUAGAAUCGUAUUACUUAUCCUUGAAGCUAAUGAAAUACAAUUUUAAUCGGGUUGGACAGUAAGUCUAUUGAUUAUUUGACUGUAACAGUCUACAAAAGCGUAUGCUAACAAUGUCUUACAAGUUCUCAUGGCAUUUAUAUCUUUAAAAAAAGUAUUGCAAAACUUUUUACACUUUUUUUUAGAAAACAUAUGAAUUUAAAACAAUGUGUUCGGGCACUUUGGAUUUUGGAACCGUGUGUUUUGUGGACUAUCGAAUAUUGAUAGCAGACAGGUGGAUAUGGUUAGUUACAAAGGGUUUAUGAAAAAGAAAAGUUCUUUCAAAAACCGUAAUUAUGUGCUAAAAGCCAAUUGUUUUCCUGAAAACAUCAAAUACAUUUUCAUGGCAUAUGAAGAUUAACACUUGCAAGAAACAUUCAGGAGCUGCAAUUAUUAAAAUUUUGUUUUCGCAAUGUAAAUAACAUGCAAACUUGGAAUUAGAUCAAUGUUAUUAUUUCGCUGAUUUAAGCUAAAGAUAUGUGCUAAAAACCCAACAGGGCAUAAUUAAUUUGUAGCGUGGAUUUAAGGUAUAAUUUUAAUUGUAGCCAUGCUUGUUAAACACUAUAUAGAAAUCCGAGACAAAAUCCUUGCUUCUUCGUCGAUAAUGUUUACUGUUGCUGUUGCUGAUGAAGAGGAUCUUAGGAACAGCAGCAACAACGCUAGUAAGCCGUGUAAGCAGAAAUAAACGGGGGGCGAUUGGCGUAAUUUUUACACAUUAAUAAGAUCCGUGCCGUACUACCCGUGAGCCAAAUGUGUUUGGUGACUAGCAAAAAACCAAAUUGAA